AAAAUGACAGGAGACCGGGUAGUCCACCGCCGCCCCUGACCACACUCUCCCCGAUCCGAUCCGCCGGCGAUGGCCGCCCCUCACCGUGCUUUCCCCGAUCCGCCGCCGAUGGCCGCCUUCCGUUCUGGCCGACACGCUGCCCACCUCCGCCUGGCCGUACCACCGCGGCUCGCCGCCCACCCUUCCUUCCGCUUCCCCACCACGCCCCUCCCCACCCCAUCCAAGACGCGCCUCCCCGCCGCCGGCGCCGCUUCUCCCUACGCCGCCGCGCUCCUGCGCAUCCUCGCGCUCCACUCCCUCUUCCUUCUCGCGCCCGCCGCCCGAGCGCUCCCCUCCCUGCCCCACCUCUUCCUGCUUCCGCCGGUCCUCGCCAUCAUCUCCGCCGUCGCCAUCCUCCUCAUCCCCUCCAAGAGCCAACCCCACCCCUUCCCGGCGCUCCGCCACCUCUUCCGUCCCGCCCUCCUGCUAGCGGCGUCCCUUCUCCUCCGACUCGCCUCCCUCCACCUCAUCACCGACCCCGGUCUCAUCGUCCUCGCAGAUUCCGCCGGCGCGUUGCUCGCCCGCGCCCUCAACCGUCCCUCCCGCCGCCGCGUGAUCUCCGUCGCUGCCGCCUCCGUUUCGCUCGCGGCCGCAUCACCUUCCCACUCCGUGCUUCUUCUCGUGCUCCCCUUUGCUUCCGGCCUCCUCUCCUCGGUCGAGCACUCUGUAUCUGCGCGACAUGUCACCCGCAGCCGCCACGCCCGUGCGGCCGUUUUUGCCCUCGCCGCCACCUUCCUCUCGGCGCCGGCACUUGCGGGCCUCUUCUUUCUUGGUGGCACUGACACCAGCGAUGGUGUCCCGAUUGGCCAGCUCUGGUGGCUGCUCCUUAAUGCCGCUGUCUUUGGCAUGGCCUUGGGGCGACGGCAAGCCUACGACAGCAGUAGCAGUAGCAGCAGACCAAGCAUGAAUUUUGCAAUGACCUUUGUGUGCACUAUUGUUCUGGAGCUGGUGUACUACCCAAAGCUGUCGUUGCCGGGCUUCUUAAUUUGUGGGUUCGUCUUGUGGAUCGCCAGCAGGGAGCUGACUUCUUCAGGAUAUGUUGAGCUUGGGAGCACUGACGAGUCGGUGUAUGAGGCUGUCAUGGGGCCAGUCCGGCAUAUCCUUAGUGAACGCAAAUCCAGGAAGAUUGCUGCUUUUCUGUUGAUCAACACAGCUUACAUGUUUGUUGAGUUCGCCAGCGGUUUCAUGAGCGAUAGCCUUGGGCUGCUCUCUGACGCUUGCCAUAUGUUGUUUGAUUGUGCUGCUCUGGCAAUUGGGCUAUAUGCAUCGUACAUUGCGAGGCUACCUGCAAAUGGAUUGUAUAACUAUGGAAGGGGCAGGUUCGAGGUGCUAUCUGGGUAUGUUAAUGCAGUGUUCUUGGUGCUUGUUGGGGCCCUGAUUGUGUUGGAGUCGUUUGAGAGGAUACUCGAGCCUCGGGAGAUAUCAACAAGUAGCCUUUUGGCAGUUUCUGUUGGUGGACUUUUUGUAAAUAUCAUUGGAUUGGUUUUCUUUCAUGAGGAGCACCAUCAUGCGCAUGGCGGUAGCUGUUCCCACUCUCAUUCACAUUCUCAUAAUCAUGGUCAUGAAGAUCACCAUCACCAUCAUGAUCAUGUUCAUCAGACUGCUGAUCACGAGAAGACAUGUUCCGGUCAUCAUGGAGACACAAAUAAGAGCCAUCAUCAGAAUCACCAACAUGAUAGCAACAAUGCAGAGAAUCAUCAUCAACAUAACCAUGGCUGUAGCCACAAGCAUGGUCACAAUGGCCACAUGGAACAUCACCAGCAGGGUGUAGAUCAGGCUCAUCAAGAUUGCAGCAGCAUCAGCAGCGAGCAAGGACUUCUUGAGAUUCCACUGAUAAAUGUUCACUCUCAUGGCGCAGAAUCUCAGUCUUGUAAUGGAGAAGUUGAAUCGCCAGAAAUCGGAAACCAUGGCAAGACAGCAAGUCGGCGUCACAUUGACCAUAACAUGGAAGGUAUCUUCUUACAUGUCCUAGCUGACACAAUGGGAAGUGUCGGUGUUGUGAUCUCGACCCUACUAAUCAAGUACAAGGGAUGGCUAAUAGCAGAUCCCAUUUGCUCUGUAUUCAUUUCAAUAAUGAUUGUGGCUUCUGUCCUUCCAUUGUUGAGAAAUUCUGCUGAAAUUUUGUUGCAAAGAGUUCCAAGGAGCCAUGAGAAGGACUUCGAAGCAGCACUGGAUGAUGUUAAGAAGAUUAAUGGUGUGAUUGGAGUCCAUAAUGUUCAUUUAUGGAACUUGACAAACACCGAUAUUGUAGGCACUUUUCAUCUUCAUAUAUCAGCCGAAGCUGAUAAGUCUGUUACAAGAGAAAGUGCUUCACGGAUAUUUCAAGAAGCUGGGGUUCAAGAUUUGACUAUCCAGAUUGAAUGUGUCGAAAGAUAGCAGUUGUUGGUAUAGCGACACUUGUUGGUAGUUUGAUAGGAUUUUGGCACAGAUCAAAUAUAUCUGUAGUGCUUAAUUCAGGAGCCAUCCUUUAUGUACCGCUGAAAGGAAAUUGCAUUAAAAUACAGGACCUUGUUGCUUGCAUCCUCGUAUCUUUUGGCAGGGAGUUAAUUAUCGUUUGGCGGCGAAAAGACUGAUGAAAGCAUACAGGAUGGUAUGCAGAACACAUUCCCUUCAGUUCUUGAAUCAGAGUGCAGCAGUGAAGAACAAGAUGCUUUUUUGGUUGAUGAAUUGGUCCGAAUAGAUUGAGAGGCCGCGACUAUCAGAUGUGUGCGGACAAGCUGAGAUGGAGGAAAGAGUUCGGCGUGAACAUGAUCCUUGAGGCGAUCACGCUGACCUACAGCAAUGCUGCAGUUGUUGCAAUCUUUGCUUAAUGUCUACUCCCUCUCCCAUAAUAUAAGAGCGUUUUUUACACUAGUUAUAUUAUGGGACGAGGGAGUAACAUUCAACUGAGUUCAUGUGGACAGGUUUUUUGGGUUUUACCGCCCCCUGGCGACACAAGCUCGUCCUCCUCUGCGCCGCCCCUGGUAACAAGUCCCGCCUGUGCUUCAGCGGCUGCCACUCCGUCACUCCCUCUCCCUGUUUGUCUUCUUGGUGCCCGCCAGUUGGUCGAGGAGGCAGCAGUACGAGAUGUUAUUGAUCGCUGGUCUGUUACCAGUUUGCAUGUACCAUGCUGCUAGCAUAUAACGUAUUUAUGCAUCUAUCCAAGGAAUCCUGUACCUUCCAGAUUUCCUCAUAUAUUUGCACAGUACAGAUUUUAUUGUUGAAAUAAACGAUCAUGGCAACACAUGAAUUCGAUGACUAUAUUAC